rnacentral:rRNA from 1 species
AGUGAACGCUGGCGGCAUGCCUAACACAUGCAAGUCGAACGGCAGCACAGCAGUAGCAAUACUGUGGGUGGCGAGUGGCGGACGGGUGAGGAAUACAUCGGAAUUUGCCCUGUCGUGGGGGGAUAACGUAGGGAAACUUACGCUAAUACCGCAUACGACCUAACGGUGAAAGCGGGGGAUCGCAAGACCUCGCGCGGCUGGAGAAGCCGAUGUCAGAUUAGCUAGUUGGCGGGGUAAAGGCCCACCAAGGCGACGAUCUCUAGCUGGUCUGAGAGGAUGAUCAGCCACACUGGAACUGAGACACGGUCCAGACUCCUACGGGAGGCAGCAGUGGGGAAUAUUGCACAAUGGGCGAAAGCCUGAUGCAGCCAUGCCGCGUGUGUGAAGAAGGCUCUAGGGUUGUAAAGCACUUUCAGUAGGGAGGAAAGUCGAUAGUUAAUACUAUCGGCCGUGACGUUACCUACAGAAGAAGCACCGGCUAACU